rnacentral:rRNA from 1 species
CUGCUGCCUUCCGUAGGAGUCUGGUCCGUGUCUCAGUCCCAGUGUGGCCGUCCGCCCUCUCAGGCCGGCUACUGAUCGUCGCUUUGGUAGGCCGUUACCCUGCCAACUGGCUAAUCAGACGCGGGCCCAUCCUGUACCACCGGAGUUUUCAGGGAAAAGCCAUGCGGCUUCCCCCGUUAUGCGGUAUUAGCACCUAUUUCUAAGUGUUAUCCCCCUGUACAGGCCAGGUUGCCCACGCGUUACUCACCCGUCCGCCACUCA